AUGAGGCGGGCUGGACCUCUCGGGGUUACAGCCUUGCUGAAUUAUUCACCCUUGUCUUUUGCGUACUUCUUGUUUCCUUGGUGGGUUCGCCCACCACUAGGACAAACAUAAACCUUUUGUAAUUGCAAUCAGCGUCAGUAACAAAUUAAUAAUUACAACUUUCAACAACGGAUCUCUUGGUUCUGGCAUCGAUGAAGAACGCAGCGAAAUGCGAUAAGUAGUGUGAAUUGCAGAAUUCAGUGAAUCAUCGAAUCUUUGAACGCACAUUGCGCCCUUUGGUAUUCCAAAGGGCAUGCCUGUUCGAGCGUCAUUUGUACCCUCAAGCUUUGCUUGGUGUUGGGCGUCUUGUCUCUAGCUUUGCUGGAGACUCGCCUUAAAGUAAUUGGCAGCCGGCCUACUGGUUUCGGAGCGCAGCACAAGUCGCACUCUCUAUCAGCAAAGGUCUAGCAUCCAUUAAGCCUUUUUUUCAACUUUUGACCUCGGAUCAGGUAGGGAUACCCGCUGAACUUAAGCAUAUCAAUAA
rnacentral:rRNA from 1 species